AGUUCAAGUUGAGUCCUUCGGGAUGCCAUGGCACCUUGGAUCACCGAGUUCCCCUGAUCAUCGGCUCCAUCCCUCUGCGAGAACACUUCACCAUGUUCCGGCCAGCAGGUCCUUCCCAGCCCCAGCCAUUGCCAUCAACCUCAUACCCAACACCAAUGCCACCCUCAGCUCCUCCUGCUGGUUUCAAUGUGUCUCCAUAUAAUCCCAAUAUCCCACCUACACAGCCUGGAUAUGUGGCUCCCACAGCUCCAGUAUUUCCAGGGGUCCUGCAUUAUCCCGAUUUGCCUCCGCCAUCGUAUAACGAGUGCAUGUUUGGGGCGACUGGCAUUGCGGAUGACAGUGAUGAUGAGAGUGGCGGCAAGUUUGCUCCAAAAUAUGCAUCUUAUAAUCUUUCAAUGGGUCUAGCAGUAGCUCCACCUCCAUAUAAUGAAUCAAUGCUUCCUCCUGAAAUGGCUGAGGGAAAUGCAGUUUUUGCCCCAGGUGUCAUGAGUGGACAACCAUAAAUAGUGAGAUUUGGAGGUGAAGGCAACUUUUCAUGUAGUUAAAGGCAUGUACAAGAGGGAGAAUUUGAAGAUGGAGAGAUAUGAAAAUUGGAGACAAGAAUAAGAAGAAAAAGAAAACAAGGCAUAAAACAGUGUCUGUCUUAUGAGUUUAAAUCUAGUCCAUACAACUGAACCAAGUCCAUGAGGGCAAGCGAGUAAGUUGCUUUUUCUGGACUUCUUACUUGUGUCUGUGCGAAAAACAACAAAGUGCCCCUGCUGGGAGUGUAGCCAGUUCACCAGGCAGUGACAAGCAGUGUUAUCAAUGGUCCUUAGACAGUAUUCUUGCCAGUUGCAUAGUAGCCAUUGAAUUUUAAACCGAUCAUGCUCAGGAUACUUUUUAUUGUGCUGUUAUUGCCGUCAGUUGUAUGGAUAGGGUUCUAGAUGUGUAUUCUGUUUUUAGUUCUGACAUUCCUCUAUACAGCAUUUUGGUCUUCUUACUGGCUGAUCAUGAUAUUAAUUUUAUGCAUAUGGAUGAUUUGUACUUUUUUACAUUGACUGUAAAUCUGAGAGAAUGUUAUAGUUAUUGGAUUUUUAAAAUUAAUUAUUGAAAGGAUAGUUUUUUUACAUUUGUAAUGAUGAAUAUGCACACUUUGAAAUAAUAUAUUUCUUUGCUUUGGUGUAUACAAAGUGAUCCUCUGCAAGACUUUUCAUGAUUAAAAAUAAUGUAGAGAUUAUAGAAAAUUUCUAGGUCUCUGGAUUACAUUAUGUGUCAAUUUGAGAUUGAUAACCAUUAUUGAGUGCCAUGCACCCAACUGUUCACUAAUAAACACAGGAGCAAGGCUAGAGAUGAGUAAAGGUGCUUGUUUUAAAAAUUUUCUUCUCUCCUCAAAUAGUGGAGAAACAUUAAUCUAUUAGCAACAAGCAGAUUAUAUUUCUUUACCAGUACUAGACAUAUUUUCUUUAACACUGAAAUUAUAUUUUAAAAAAAUAGAUAUACAUAAAGACUCUUAACCUAUAUUGGUUUCUGGUCAGAUGUCAAAAUAUUACAUAGUCUGUAGGCAUCACUAGUGGAUUUAUUUUUUUUUUGUGAUGUUAAUAUUUGAUAACAUGAAUGAGUAUUCUGUUUUAUUCCUCUGAUAACAGAAGUAUAGGGGUUAUCACACAAAAAUAAGUUUUUUGUCCAUUUUAUAUAACCUAGUAUCAAUUCGCUCAUAUAUUGUGUAUUUGCUAUCACACUGGCCUGCCUGCUUCACUAUAUACAUACAUAUAUUUGUAAAGAACAGAAAUGUCCCUUUCAAAGCUUUCAUAGAUCUGUCUACAUUAUAACAGGCCAAGAAUUAUGAUACAUAUUUUGUAUACUGUACAUCCUCAUUUUUUUUGUUUUUGUUUUUGUAUGUAUAAAGUUUUGCAGAAGUUAGGCAAGUAAAGCUUAGAUCUGGCUCCCCAAGUUCCCAAGAUACUGCCCCUAGGCCAGGUCUGAAGAGUAUUACUGUCUUUACUGUACUACUGUCUUUUAUUAUAAUCUUGAUGAUAAUAUGAGAAACACUGUAUGUCAGGACCUACCCAUUUAUAUGAUGAAUUAUAUUUUGAUAAGAAAAAAAGAUAACAAUCACAGUUUUUAAAAUAUAAGCACCAUACUUUUGCACUUGACUUAAAAAAAAAAAAAAAAAUACAAAGUGACUCAUUGGACAUUUUUGUGGAUGUGCUCUGAUCUACAGAUUUACAGAAAUUACAUGAUUGGCAUGUAGAUUGUACAUGUAAUAAUGUCAUAGAUAUUUAUGGAGUUUACAGAGUUUACCAGCUGAAUAUUAUGUAGGUUUGUGAUUAUUUUUUCAAGUUUUGUCUUUUCUUUUCAAUUUGUGAUUUUUUUUGUUGUAUUAUUAUUAAUAUUAUUCUUUUUUUUUUGCAUUGGCCAUCUAAUCAUGUUAUGCAUUCACUAUAUAUUUUUUGUUUUAAACUUGCAUGUAAUACUCAUCAUCAAGUUGGUUUUACAUAUGCUAUGUAUAGAUUAAUAUUUCCCAUUAUUAUUAGUAGUAAAUUAACACAAUUAUUUCUUCCCUGAUCUUUUCAACAAAUAUAUACCAAUCUACCUCAACUAUGUGGACCAACACAUUAUAAUAUUCACAUUAACAACUUUACAGAGUUCUGAUACGUACAAUAUUUUUGAGGAAAAAAAAUCUAGCUGGCUGUAUAGACAAUACUGAUUUUGUCAUAAAGUGGCUUCAAAAGGAAUUUGUGGUGGCAGUUAUUGAUUAGUUUAUUUGAUAAACAAUUAUGCAACAGAGUUUGUUGUAAUACAAAAGAAAACUUACAAUUUUUGAAUAUUUAUAAUAUAAUUACACCAAAAUGUACUAGAUGGUUAACUCUCAAAAUGUCUCAAAGUUUAGUAUGAACACUUUUAAAGUUGUUACUCAAUUUGUAAACAUGAAUUGUAAACCCAUGCUAUAUAAGUGCAUUACGAAGUGUCUUAAAGAUAACCAAAUUCCAUCCUAGCUGCCACAUGUAUAUUACUCCUUUGUUUUUGUAUAGGGUACAAAAAAAAAAGGUUCUAUUUCACAUAGAUGAUGAGUCAUGUAGAAAUUAGGGUAAAUGUCUUGUAAGUACAAAGCUACCAAUUUGCAGAAACCUACCCUACUUCCCAUACCUCAAAUGCCAAAUUAUGCAAAAAUUGUACAGUAGACAAAAAUAAUGCAAAAGAUCAAUAGGUUAAAUACGUUUUGUUACUAUUGACACUAUCUAUUAGGGUAGAUAUAUUCAUUUUUUCUAUAAUUAAGAAGAUUUUUGUAACAGUCAUAAUGACUAGCUGUAUGCAUAGAGAUGUAGUUAUUUCAGAAAAUUGUAGUUAUUUUACUAAAACUACGUUAGAGACAGUUCUCUCUUCUUUUCCUAUUUUUCCCUUCUAACCUAUUCAUUUAUUUACUUACAUAUUUCUCAUCUCACUGACUGCUUUAUGUUUUAUAUAGUAUAUAAAGAGCAUUUGUAUCAGAAUUAUGUUGUCAGCCAGGCCUUGACUGAAUAUGUAGCUUUCAUAUGUUCACUGCCAGUUGUAGCUGAUUGCUGAUUGAUUGAUAGAUAUUUCUGGUACAACUGUUUGAUAGCAUUAUUGUAUAUUAUGAAAGAAAAACUCGUUGUAAACAGAUGAAAUGCAUCUGAUAUGUAAAUUUUAUUCAGAUAUAUAUUCCAGAUCUAACAGUAUUUGUCAUCAUGAAAUAGUAUAUAUUGUUUAAAUUGUGUAAUAAUUGCAUAACAUUUCAUUUUCAUAGAAAUAAACUUAGUAAAUUUUGCGGUCCAGUGAGAAAAAUAUUUUAAAUAUUUGAUUUUAAUAUGAACAAUACUUAGUUUUUACUCUGGGAGUUGUUAUUUGAAAGAUACUCUGAAUAAAAGUGCAUGCAUAGUAUUUUACUAUGUGCAGUGUUUAUGAGACUAUAAUUGGUCACUUUUAUUCAUAAUUUAAGUUUAGUGAUACUCAUUAAAAUAUAUUUUGAAAUUAUAUACAUUACUGACAGGAAUAGUAUAAUAUAUUUUCUGUCUCUAUAUGUGUAAUGUAAAGUAUAAAUAAAAAGUUUGAUGUAUUUAGUUUUGUGUGCAAUGUCACUGGGACUGUGGAAGUGUGAAUGCAGUAAAAAUUAUUUUUUAAUGCAUUUGUAUUAUUAAUAUAUAAUGCAUUUAUAAUUCAUCUAAGUUUCAUUUUAUAUGUUUUAUAAACUGAAGUGCAUUCAAUUUGAGGAUUAUAAAGACAAAAUAUAAUUUAUACUAAGAUUACACAGGUUUUUUUAAUUAAUGUCACAGUAUUCAGUAUUCUGAUAAACAGCAUAUUCUAUAAAUUUAUUUUUUUUUAAUCCUUUUUUGAGUUAUAUCUAAAUUUGUUCCUAAACACUGUAGUAUCAGUUGAUUACUCAUAUUUUUUUUUCAUUUGAAGAUGUAAAAGGUGAUAGAAGAUGGUCGGGGUAGUAUUCAUUUAUUUCUUAAUUUCUAGCCAUAUUUACUUAAUAUAGGGAGAAAUUUGCCAAGAGAGCAUUUAGGGUUGUGGUAUCCACCUCCCUUUUUCAAUACCACUGCAGAGUGUGCUGUGUUUAUUGAUCAAAUGCAAUUGUUUCUCAGGUAUAAUUGUUUGUCUAUCCAGGUUUCUAAUUUCUCUUAUUGUAAAUCUAUUUUAACACUAUUUGUAUUUGAUUGUAGUGGUCAUUUCCAUUUAUAUGGAUUUGUAAUUAUUUUAGUGCAUUUCGUACUCCUUUCACCUGGUGAUAUCUUGUGGGUAAAUAAAUAUACUGUUGUGUGUUUAAAA